rnacentral:snRNA from 1 species
GAAUGUGGGGGUGGUGUGGCUGUGAAAUGCAUGACCUCACUGAUCACCAGAUUGUUCUGUCUGAUAUGGAUGGCUGGGUGGGUGUCCCAUUCUUCUCUCACUGCUCCCUGUGUGUUUCUCCCAAAGCUGUACACUUGGUCAGAGGAUGACUUCCCCCAUGCAGAAGUACAUUCAUCAGUUCAGUGCACGCAGUAGCUGCGCUCCCCUGCUAGAACCUCCAAGCAAGUUCUAUAACAUUAUGAGCUGAAUCUUUACCUGAAUAGAUGGAAGAGUUGAAAUUCCUCCUGAGAAAACUGACUCAGCGCAGUUUCUUCCUGA